rnacentral:lncRNA from 1 species
CACCCAGGCCGUGUCGUAUGCAGACGGAGUUAUCUCAACUUUACCAUUUGUGAUCCUCUCUCUCAUUCUUUCGAUUGAUUCUUGUAAGAUCUAUAUCGUUAGUACAAUUUAGUUAGUUAAUUAAUCGAUCCACCGUGUAAUUAAACAUGUACUGGAAAAACUGGAAAAUAUAUAUAAUAGUACUGUUGGAUUAUGAUCAAGGCUGCAUCUGAAUGUGACUGCUGAUUUAUGCAUGGUGUGAAAUAUUCGAACUGCGCAAAGUGGAAAAGAAUUAAAAUCCAUUAAUUAAUUGGCGAUAACUGUAAUGAAAUAGACAUACUUAAAAGGGCUAAUUAAUUAUAAGAUGAAACAUGGAAAUUAAAAAAAACCUGGAAAAGUUUGUGUGUUGUUUCUAAUUCCAUUUUCUGAAAAAGGGAAAACUGUGACUUUCAACCCCACUGACAUUUUCUAUUACCCCGGUUACUGCAAGUGCUGG